GGUGCGUUAGUUCAGCCUGGUUAGAAUGCCUGCCUGUCACGCAGGAGGUCACGGGUUCGAGUCCCGUACGCACCGCAA
rnacentral:tRNA from 2 species